UACGUAGGGGGCUAGCGUUGUCCGGAAUCAUUGGGCGUAAAGCGCGUGUAGGCGGCCCGGUAAGUCCGCUGUGAAAGUCGGGGGCUCAACCCUCGGAUGCCGGUGGAUACUGUCGGGCUCGAGUACGGAAGAGGCGAGUGGAAUUCCUGGUGUAGCGGUGAAAUGCGCAGAUAUCAGGAGGAACACCAAUUGCGAAGGCAGCUCGCUGGGACGUUACUGACGCUGAGACGCGAAAGCGUGGGGAGCAAACGGG
rnacentral:rRNA from 1 species